AAAUUCACAAAGAUGUUAUUGGGACUUGAGGGCUUGUUUCAAGUAGAAGCUGGAUAGGCUGGGACUUAUUCCUCUGAAGCAGAGGAGACUGUGGGGUAACAUUAUAGAGGUAUUUCAAAUCCUUAAGGUCCAGGUGAGGUGGACAGUCAGUCUUCUUCUGAUGUUAGAUCCCAUGAUCUAAAUUUAAGUUCAGCGGUGACCGCGCCUUUGCUGUUGUAGCCCCUAGACUGUGAAACAGCAUUCCCCUCCCUAUCAGAUCUGCCCCCUCCAUCGACUCUAAGUCCAGGCUCAAAACUUACUUUUAUUCACUAGCAUUUGAAUCUUCCUGAUAUGGCUGAUUUUUGGCUUGUGCCUAGGUUCAUGUGUUCUUUAUUUUGUGCCUAUAAGCUGUGUGCCUUGUUGUUUAUAUCUGUGUUUCUUGUAUUUGUGAUUUUAGCUACCUGUUAUGGUUUGUAUAGCACUUUGGUCAAUAUGGGUUGUUUUUAAAUGUGCUUUAUAAAUAAAUUUAACUUGACUUGACUUGACUUAAGGGAGUCUAAAACUGAAGGAUGCAGAUUUAAGAAAAGGAGGAAAAAUUUAAACGGGACCUAAGGGGCAGCAUUUUCCACAUGGUGUAAUGGGUAUAUAGAACAAGCUGCCAGAGGAAACUGCAGAGAUAGAGAUCAGAAAGGCUUCAGACAGCAAACCAACAUUGGUAAAAUGCAAGAAUAUAUCUAACACGGAACUUAGCACCAAAUGUUCUUUUGAAGACCCUGACCUGGAGUUACACGCUGACUUUGGUUCUUUGCGGAAAUGGAACCCGCUCGCGGGGCCUCACAACUGGCCGCUUUUCGAUAUGCCAAGGACGCGGUCUGGAAGACUAGCACGCCUUGAGGGUGCUGGAUUUUUGUGGCUCUGGAGGUGGGCGGAUUCAAGGCCGGUGCUGCUGCCUGAUGCAUUGUGGGAGAUGGAAGAUCAGAAGCAGUGAGCUUGCUGCUGGCUAUGUGCCCACAGACCCGAGUUCUUUGGGCACAGAGAGAGCUCGGAAAAAGUGAUGCAACAGACUUUUAACACUAUAAAUCAGCGAGUUGCUUUGUUAUGUCUCCCCUCUCGCUGUGAAACGGGGACACCUCUUUUUCCCUUAUUAGGGAGAGAGAGAGCCUGUGGUAUGGCGAAUUACCAGGUGAAUAAGUCAUUUUUGGGGUACUACAAGUCUGUGUCUUUACUGAUGCAUUGCUGCACGCUUGAGUGCUUGGUGGGAGUGUGUCGAUGCUUUUUUGCUGUUGGGGAGGGGAGGGGGAGCUGGGCAGGCUUUGGGGUUUAACAUUUAACUGUCAUUCAUUCUUUGCGGCACUCCUCUGUUUUCAUGGGUGUUUGUGAAGAAAAAGAAUUUCAGGAUGUAUAUUGUAUACAUUUCUCUGACAUUAAAUGUACCUAUUGAAACCUAUUGAUGGCAGCAGUGAGGCAAACACCCAAAGCCUAGUUAGUAUUCGUUAUUCCCUGUGCUUCUCAGGAAGGCCGAAUAAAUGAGGCCAGAAAAUAAAUUCAAAUCACAGAGAUUAAAGCCAUUUUAAGGAUUGUGCAAGAAGCUUGGCUGGUCUUAUAGAGUCCAAAGUUUUAGAAAAAUAAUCUCAUUCAGCACAAAUUGAAAAAUAGUAAGAAAAAUUAUAAACAAUUCAUAAAUCACAUAUACCUAUGUUAACAAUAACUAUUUGUUAUAAACCA